rnacentral:misc_RNA from 1 species
GAAACCGAUGGGCAGCCAAAGAAGCGGAGAAGAUUUUGGCAAUCCUUCUCUCCAUCAUCACCCUGUGAACUUAAGUGACUCAAAUAAGUUUUCCCCUCGUAGAUAUACCAUAGCUGUUGGCAUAGAAGUACAAUCAAUCCAAUUUGAACUGAGAAACUUGAGAUAAAGAGAUAAAUAAGGAUGAACCCUCUGAUAGACAGUAGCGUUGUGGAUCUCAGAACAGCAUGAACGACUUCCUUGGAAAGACUCCAACCGAAUCUGCUUCCAGAACCAUUUAGGCGACCCAACUCGUGGACCAAUAAUGGAGGCCACAUAUGCAGAACCGAGUAUACAGCCAUGAUUGAAACAUAAAUUGUACUCACAAUAGCUGAAAUGAGGAACAGAAUGAAGUGUUU